UACGGGGGGGGCAAGCGUUGUUCGGAAUUACUGGGCGUAAAGGGUUCGUAGGUGGCCUGCUAAGUCAGACGUGAAAUCCCUCAGCUUAACUGGGGAACUGCGUCUGAGACUGGUGGGCUUGAGUGCAGGAGAGGAACGCGGAAUUCCAGGUGUAGCGGUGAAAUGCGUAGAUAUCUGGAGGAACACCGGUGGCGAAGGCGGCAUCCUGGACUGUAACUGACACUGAGGAACGAAAGCCAGGGGAGCAAACGGG
rnacentral:rRNA from 1 species